UCGACAGCUUUGUGCUUUAACCUCCACCAAAGAUCUACUCAUCCCCGUCCCAUCCCCUGCGAUCGCAGGAAGCUGACUGUCCUGGGAUAUGUGCCAUCUUUGCCUGAUUUCUCUUUGGUGCCCUGGAGGAAGAUGAAACACUCUGAGGCUUUGCAAUGCAACAACAUUAUGGCACAAGAACAUUGCAUCACACUUGGUGAUACACUAUGAUGCAGCGACAUGACAUCACUGUACAUUGAUGCAAUGGCGUGAGCUCAGGUUCGCCUUGGCAUCUGCUUCCUGAGUCAGGUUCAACGACACAAGUUUGUCUACUUACCGUACUGGAUUUGAGCUCAUCCCCAUUUUCCUCUUCGGAUUCUAAUGCAACAGCUGUUGGGUCUCAAGUAGUCUCCGCCUCGUCCCUCCAGCAACAUCUGGAUGUCACCACCCCUCUCUUCGUCCACCGAGACCUGUCUGGAGAAAUGGGCGCUCUUGGUCCUGCAGUGGGCUUCUCAGAGAAACCAACACCAUCACACAGGACCGCAAGAGGGAAAAUGUGACUUUUGCCAUGCUUGGGCUAUGCUGCACACGAGAGAGACUCCGGCUCAAGAAGGCAAGUCGGGAAAGAAGUUAUCAGGAAAUAGCAGAAGUCUGUUUGCUGUUUCUGAAGCAGUAUGGAACCAGACUCAAGCCAUCCCCCAGAUCCAAGUUGUCUCCCUGAAAGAUGUCUCCAAGCAGAGGUCACUUCCAGAGCAGAAUCUUUAGCCAGGUUCUUGGGAAUAUUAACCUGAGCCUGCAUAAGUGAUGUAGUAUGGUAACAUUUUAUUGUAACC